GUACUGGAUGUACUUGGGAGGAGUUUCUUCUUGCUGUUGUUGAGUGCAGACAUGAUUCUCUGUACUGAUGUAAGAGGCAGAAAUAAAUGAUGUAAAUAGUUUUCUGUCUGCUUCUUUCCCUCCCUGGGGACACCAAAGGGGAGAGAGGAAGAACGGUGUGUUCCUCUCAUACAUCUGAGAAGAAUCGCCGGACCUCGCCUGCUUAUCAGCACAGUGGAGACGCAGCGAGGUCGACAGGAAUAUCUGCCGGUGCCUACGCUGUGGCACAUUCCUCUGACCCAGGCAGAAUUCCAACAGUGGUAGCAGAGGAUGGUUGCGAUUCAUCGGACAUCUGCAUGAGAGGCUGGUGGAUUGUCCUCCACUGCUCCUAAGGAGGAAUAGAAGCGUCUGAAAGAAGCCAGAGGCUCCACAGACAGCUGGUGGAAAGAAGAGGUGUUUUCCAGAGCAACAAAGUUCAAGGUAUGCUGCAUUUCGGGCUAAAAGUGUGAACGCAGGAAGAUUAAUUCCCUGGUUCACGGAGCUGCGUUUCAAAGAAAACAAAAGCUCCGAGAGGAAGAGGCCUGCAGCUUGAAGGCUGAAGCCUGCAUUCCACAAAUUUUUGUGGUAGAUAAGGAGUCCCAUUGAAAUGCAUUGUUGCUAGGCAACGGUCCUGGAAAGUUACUGGCAAGGGGCUGGACUCUGAGUGUAAGCCUGGGAAAGCGAAACAAAACCAGAGAAUGUUUUGGCUACAAGGUUUACGAGCUCUUGGAAGGGACUUUUCAAUAGCAGCCUGAGUUUAGCUGCCAGGUGCAAAGAGCGUAAACAAUUUGCAGUUUGCUGCGUGAGAAAAGAAAAAAACAACUGUUGGAUUUUACAGUUUGUUUGACAUUGUGAGCUGGAGGCUUGGCUUCAAGAUGGAUGCCAAGAAAGGGGAGGUUUGCCUUGCCCACCUCCCUUAACCAAUGACAAUUAUUCAUCUUGGUCUGUAAAGAUGAAGGCCCUGCUGCAGAAUCAGAGGCUUUUUGAUGUAAUUGAAAACCCCAUCCCUGCAGCACCAACCAGAGGUUGGGAGUCACAGAAUGUAAGGGCCAGGACUGCUAUAAUUCUGUGUGUCUCAGAUGAUCAGUUGGUGCAUGUUCAGCAUUUAGAAAAUGCGAAAGAGGUAUGGGACACGCUGCGUACAACGCAUCAGAGAGAUGCUGGUUCUUCAGCGUUGCUGUAUUUUGAGAAAUUGACCAAUCUGAGACUUGCGCCUGAUGGAGAUGUUCAAGCGCACCUGACAGAAAUGAAGUUUCUGCGUCAACAGAUGGUGGAACGCAAUUUCCGUCUUCAGGAGGAAGUGUUUUGCUUCAUGAUGAUAAACAGCCUUAGCCGCACCUACAAGGUUGUUGCCAGUCAGCUUGGUUCCCUACCGGCCGCGCAGCUGACCGCGGAGAGAGUUUGUGCUGUGGUCCUGAAUGAACACGACAGACUUGCUGCACUGGAAGAAAAAGACAGGGGAGGGAAGAACAGAGUUCUAAUUCCCCCACUGCUGAUGCUACUGGAGAGCAUGGUGUAGCAUUGAGUGCUGUCCGAUGCUACAAUUGUGGACAGACUGGGCAUCUACAGCGAAACUGUAAGAAGCCGCGCCAGUCAAGAGGAGCAAAGAGCAGCUCUACGAAGCCUCAGGCGUCAGGCAAAAGCCGUACCAAGUGCCAGGUGAAACCUGCAAAGGCUAUGAUGGCGAAAGGAACCACGCCAGAUGUUGGGAACUCGUUCAUAAUUGACACGGGCGCAACGGUUCAUAUGUGCCCGCACAGAGGACUAUUUUCGACGUUGAAGAAGCAAAGCUUCACUGUGAAACAGGCCAACGGUCAGGAGUUGGAAGCGACUGGAAUUGGGACUGUGUAUCUUGAGAGUCUGAACUUGACUAUAAGUGAUGUUUACCUGGUUCCAGAACUGAGAUUUAAUCUGCUGAGCGUGUCGCAGAUUGCAAAGAAAGGACUGAAACUGUCCUAUGAUGCUAAAAGCUGCAAGAUCUACAAAGAUGGAGAACUGUUUCUUACUGCCAAAGAGAAAGAUGGACUGUAUUUGUUGACUUUUGAUCAAAGUGAUUACAUGAAAUGUAAUUCUUCUGUUUCUAACGAAAUCUCUCUUGCAGGUGUGACCAGUGUGAGCACCAGGAAGGUGACUAAGACCAAGAAGGUCGACAGAGCAUUUCAGCGGGUGUAUGCUGAUGUGAUUGGUCCUCUAGAACCAUCUAGAGGCGGUGCAAAAUAUUACCUUGUGUGUGUGGAUUGUUUCACUAAUUAUUCUUGGGUUUAUAUGAUGGAGAAACCGCAAGAAACUUUAGAAAAGUUUCAGGAGUUUUGUGACAAGGUUAAAAGUAUGCAUGAUGCUAACAUUGAUUGUCUUUUCACAGAUGAGAAGCAAAUUUUUCUGUUGCAGAAGUUUCAGAAGUUCCUGGAUGGAAAAGGGAUAGACCACAAAGUGGCAGUCUCGCAAGAAGCGUGGAACAGGGGGGGUCUGUGUAAGAGUGAACAAAGAAUUGCAAAAGGGGAUGAAUGCGCAAUUGCUGAGUUCACAUUUGCCACAUGAAUAUUGGGCCGAAUCGCUAGCGUCCUAUCUUCAUGUGUGGUUGAGAAAAGUCUCAACAGAGUUGGGAUGUUCUCCUUUUGAGAAGCUGUUCAAUAGAAAACCUUCUGUUGCCUAUUUUAAGGUUUUCGGGUCUCAUGUGAGAACAGAAGCUCCAGGUGGUGUAAAGAAUGCCAGAGGCAUUUUUGUGGGUUAUGAAAAAGGUCUCUACAGAGUAAUUUUGUCUGAAUCUGGUCAGGUGAUUCUCACAAAGUUUCUAGAGAGUGCUCCUGAACAGGAGAGCGUUGAUAGUACAGACAUUUCCCACAGAGAGAUUCUGAUGAUGAUGAUGAUGAGUUUGAUCUUAUUGAGUUCAGUAGUACUGAUGAUGACAGCGAUAGCUCAGACAGCUCAGUUGUCACAGUCAUUGAGAGGAAAUCUCACACAAUGGAUAGACCUUCACAGGUGAAGGAUGAACCACUGAUUGCUACUGGUUCUCAACAGAGUCCAAAGGUUGAACCAGUGAGCACAGAAGAUCAGAACCUCAUACGCAGGUCUGAGAGAGUUACAAAGGGUGUACCACCAAAGAGGUACUCAAAAGAGUUUGCUAACUUAGCUGUUGCAUGUGUUGCUAUUGUUAACAACUCAAAGCAGGUUGAAGCAGUGUCUACGUCAGAGACAAAGACACAACAGAGGGUAGCUAGCCAAGGUAAUGCAGAAGCACUCAUUCCUUGGAAGCCAGACAACCAGAGAGGUACAUUGGUUAAACCAGUGGCGGGUAGUUCCAAGGGUGGAACUGAAACAACAGGGGAAUGUUAUAAAUAUAACAACUGUUUGUUUUCUUCUCUGGAUGACGCUUUGCUCGCGGCACACAUUGAUACUUUGGGGGAGUAUGUUACCAUAAAGCACCAAUGCUGCAGCAAGCAAAGGCUCUAGCAGCUCAGCCAGCUGCUUGUGGCUGGAAAGCCAGACAGGAUGUUUGUGACUGUUGCCAUGGGAACAAAGGGGCAGUCCAUUCUGUACUGAGCACCGGAUGUUAGCUCAGUGUGUGUGUGUCAUAUGACCCGUACUGGAUGUACUUGGGAGGAGUUUCUUCUUGCUGUUGUUGAGUGCAGACAUGAUUCUCUGUACUGAUGUAAGAGGCAGAAAUAAAUGAUGUAAAUAGUUUUCUGUCUGCUUCUUUCCCCUCCCUGGGGACACCAAAGGGGAGAGAGGAAGAACGGUGUGUUCCUCUCAUACAUCUGAGAAGAAUCGCCGGACCUCGCCUGCUUAUCAGCAGAGUGGAGACGCAGGGAGGUCGACAGGAAUAUCUGCCGGUGCCUACGCUGUGGCACAUUCCUCUGACCCAGGCAGAAUUCCAACACCCAUAGCCUUCUUUGUCUCCUCCUCUCCAGGCUUUUCUCCAAGCAAUCAGACUGUGUUUGCAUGCCUGUCUUUUUUGCUCCUGCUUCAUGUGUCUCCUGGUUCUGGGAAAGGAGCUUGUCACAGCAGGAGGAGGAGACACCUGUGCCUCUUCACAAGUCUGACCCAUCUCUGCCUCUCAGCUUCCCUCCCCUCCUGCUUCUGUUUCUGCCUUUGUUUCUGGACUUCUGUCUGCACAGACUCUCCCCACUCACUAAGCCCUGUUACCCCUUUAGCUUGCAACACCACCUGUUCCCAGUCUUCUCCCUCUAACCACUCAACGUUGUCCCUAGGUUCUGAGCCUUCCUCCCUUGGGGGUUCCCCAGCUGGUGUCUCCCACAAUUCUUUCGUAUGCAACAGGUCCAUGAUGUACUAUUAUUUUUAGAAAACACUCACCAUGAAUGCCUCCCAUGUUCUUUUAUAACGGCUUUGCCGCCCACUUGAGAGGUGCCAGAACUGAGUUCUGGUGAGUUCUGGCUGGGAAAAAAAGCCCUGAUGGCAUUAUUAGUGCAAAAUGCAUUAUUUCAGGGGAAACUGCUUUGGAACACUGUGAUAGGAAUUUGCACUAAAAUGUGGAGAUUUGAACAUUUUGUACUAUGUCUUAAAGAAGUUCACAAGGAUCAAAUUUCAGAACUUUUGAUGUAGAAUGAAGAUUCGAAAAGACCUAAGGCCUAAACAAAGCAUCUGCUAAGGAAGACUGUUGCUUUGGUGCUGCUUGCCAAAUCAACCAGGAGUGUUUUUGUUAACUUUGGAGUUUAACUAGCAGAAACUACUAUUACAGACAGCUUGUAUGUCCUAAAGUUACAUUUCUUUUUUCUAUUAAAGUGCAGUCAAAUAUGUGUCCAAUACUGCAUUCAUCUGGCUUCUGUAACUCUCGUGUGCUUUCAGCAUUGUUAUAUUAUCUCUAAAGAUUGAAGCUUUGGCCCUAAGAGAUGUUGUGUUGUUCAUAGGAUUCCUAAUUCUGUGUUGUUGUUUUUAUUUCAGCACAUGAUGCCAAAGAACUGAAUACAAACCCACAGGCUGUUUGGUUUUCACACAUGGACUCAAAUCUGUUUGUGCUUAGACCAAUCUACAAUGAAAAAUAAAAUCUGUGUUGCUUG
rnacentral:lncRNA from 1 species